AAUGAAAUGUGCUGUUUCCUCAUCCUCUGUCCGCUCUCCUUCCUGCACAGAUAUUUUAGGCAUGAAUCAGGCAGCAAAAACAAAUGACACUUACUUCCUGGGAGAAUAGGAGUAGGUAGAGAAAGUUACUAAAGGUAGUACCUGAAUUUGAGCCUCACAAUGACCAGGACAGGAAACUCAGAGUCCAAGGGGCUCAGGUUGGAAAGCUGGGGACUUGGCUUCGGGGCAGAGGUUCUACGACCUGAAUGACAGCUGGGUACCCAUCGCUGCCAGGGACAAGCGGGUUUGCUGCUGCAUUUGGAUUUGGGUGUGAAAUGGAUGCCAGCUCCAUCUACUCGCUCUUUCCCACGGCCAGUGUGGAUAGGAACCUGACUACUGAGGGCGAAGGGUGUGUGUCUGUGGAGUCCGGGCAUGUGGGAAAGUGUGGACGUGCAGGUGUGGGGGCUGGGGACGAGGCUGAGGGAGGAUACGCUGUAGCUUCACGUUGUUGAAGAGCGGGCUCUCCUGAGCUUCCAUCACCGUCAUGCUGGCCUGUUUGUGCAGGCGGCAGAAGGACAGGACCAGCGAGCACCACGCGGCCAGCUGCUUCUGCCGA